CAGAAUAUUUUGUAGGAUUCUAAAAUCCUUAAAAAUAUUCUAAAAGGAUUGUGAAAUAUUUGGCAAUGCUUAAUUAUAAAAGGCACGUGGGUGUUGGGUUCAGUUGCAAUUAGGAUUAGGGUUUCAGAAUGUUUAGGCAUUAGGGUUUGAGAAUGUUUAGGGUUGAAAGGUACAAUCGACGGCUUGCUUCCGACGAGGGGUUCUCGCUCCGGCGAAACCCUUGUCUCCAACUCCAAUGGCUCCGACGAAUUCCUGAUUUCGAGCAGAAGAAGGAGCUGCUUAUUUCUAAACAUUGAAUCAAUGAUUUACCACAAAAUUGCGUCGGAUACCAGCGAGGCAGGCAGGGCAUGGCCGAGUAUGGCGAAGGCCAACAUGAACCUGCCGGCGUGGCAUCCGGUAGCUAUGGAGUCUACCAGCGGCAGGCGCACUUCAACCGUUGAGGUCACGUCGUCGCACGGGUGGUAGAACUUGAGGUAGGAGAGGAACGGCAACGGGUCACGUGAAUUGUUGGACCGGGGGUAUACCUGGAGAACGUGGCCGGCGAGUGGAAAAACGACGGCUGCGGUGUCCACGGCUCGCUGAUUAUUCUGUAAUCACGUUUCUGGGUAUUUUGGGAGUCUCUGCGGGGGAAGAAGCCCGUUGUCCCCACGUUGGAUUUGCUUCUUCGCCUCACAUCCGGCCGUUUGGUGUCCAGGUUAAGGAUCAGCCUACUAGUAUUGGGGUUGGGCAAUGUAUGCGAAAUUUGGCUAUGCUUUACGUGGGUAGCUAGGCCACCUUUGCGCAGGAUGUUUUGAAACUUACUCAGUAUGACUGAUGGUUAUUUUUGAUGGAAAGAGAAGAAGCUGGUAGAGAGGGUACUCAUUCUGUUGGAUGAAUCACUACUUGUGUCCAGGUUUCAUGUUUUACAGACAGCUUUGGUGCUGUCCCUUGCUUCAAUUUUAAAACGAAGGUAAGCUCAAUGCUGAAUUUUUACAUCGCUUAUGACGUCAAGGCUGUUGGCAGAAUUAGAUGUUCUUGGCCCAAUAAUUUAGAAUGUGCAGCUGCAUCAUGCCCUGUGUAUUUUUUGUGAUUUGGUCUUAUUACCUGCGAGCAGGUUGUCUCACAAUAUUUUCUUUUCUUCUUUGUUUUUUCCCAGGGCGCAAUAUUUUCUGUUUGAUCUGAGAAAGAAAAUGACACAACAGGCUGUAUGAUCCCAUUGCACGGUACAAGUGUAUUAGAGUUUGUUUACCGUUUGCACUGGCCAUUGCAAAUAUGGAAAAGUUGACACUUGGCAUUCAUUAUUUUGUUGUGCACAUGGUAUGUGGUGAGAGUUGUCCACAUGCAAAUCUGACGUGCUCUGCUCUCUCUCUCCCCUCUGUGGGUUAGCCCAGGAAGGAUGAGUAUGCAGCGAAGACACUGGGCUGGGGCUGUGGCCAGUUGCCUGAGAUUGCUGUGGAUUCUGCUGCUGUCGGUGGUUAUGGAUCGUUGGUUGUUGUGGAUGAGGGAAUGCUGCCAGUGAUGGUGUGGAAGGCCGUAAGGAUCUGGGGAGAUUAAGAGACCUAUAAAAGCUUACAGGAAUCCUUCGGGUCGGUCCAGGAAGCGCAUUGAUUACUGGGGACCAAGCCGUUGCAACUUAACAGUCGGUGGCUUAUGAAGAUCUCAAUAACGAACUCGAACAUUUUAGAGCUAGGCAUGAAGCUGGCAUCAAAGCGGAUGGCGGCUUUGAAGAAGUCCAAGCUAGAAAUGGACUCCGUGUCAACUGGUCUAGGAAGCAAAUUGGUGCCAAGCAUGUAGUUCUACAAUGGAGAACUGCCAGUUCCUUCACUAUGUUUGUUCCUGAUGGAUACAAUGAGAUCGCACUCGCACCAAUGAUGAACCUGCCACUUCCUCCCAUGUCCAGCAUGUCUUCUCCCCCUGCUGUUCAGACACGGAUGGGCAACAAAUAUAAUCCUGCAGAGGGCUGCAAGCCUUCAAGUUGGGUGACAAAGUCAUCUUUCCUGUGGAGAGUAGGAGCUUGGCAAUCCUUUAGCAUCAUCACAGGAUGGUGAUCAUGGUAUGAACAGAACACAAGUUUUUGUGGAUUCAUUUAUAAUGCUUUGUCUUCCUUUAAGCCAAAUUUUGAAUUAGUUGGUACUUGGUUGCAGGCUUUGAUGUUGUUAACUGAUUUGCCAAUUGUUGUUACAAAUUCAGAUUUCUUCUUAAUAUUCAAGAUAGAGGGCUAAUGAAUUAAAAGAUGUGGUUCUUUCAUUGUCUUUUAGAAUUGCUCCCUGCUCUCUUCCAAGACAACUUUUUCAACCCACUGAAAAAAGUGAAGCGAACUUUUCUACCAAAUCUGUCAUUUUCCCUCCCAUUUUUCCUUCCACAGCUGUUCUUCCUUCUUCAAAUCUCCGCCAGUCGCAGUCGCCAUGGCAGCCGCCUGCUGCAUCUUUUGGGCUCGCCGGCACCGCCUGUGUCAACCAUCGACUCCUAUGUUGUCCGUCAUGGACUGCUUCACCGCCUCUGGCGGCUACCUGCUUUGCCCGCUGCCACCUACCGCUUGUCACCAUCUGCCACUGCUGCUCCGCCCAUUCACCCGAACUGGUCACAGUAAAGAUCAUAGCAAGUUUUGUUUUAUCUUUUAUCAGAAAUGAAGUCGUUUCAUAUGGCCCUCUAUGCCCAGCCAUUGGAAUUCAUCGUGUUGUCGCACUCCUGGUUAAACAGCAACGCCCCCUUGGACUGCUGGAGAGGCUACCGUCUAGGGCACGCCACAGCACCCCAGCAUUUGCAAGCGCG